rnacentral:rRNA from 1 species
CCUACGGGAGGCUGCAGUGGGGAAUAUUGGACAAUGGGGGGAACCCUGAUCCAGCCAUGCCACGUGUGUGAAGAAGGCCCUCGGGUUGUAAAGCACUUUCAGUGAGGAAGAACGCCUGGUGGUUAAUACCCAUCAGGAAAGACAUCACUCACAGAAGAAGCACCGGCUAACUCCGUGCCAGCAGCCGCGGUAAUACGGAGGGUGCGAGCGUUAAUCGGAAUUACUGGGCGUAAAGCGCGCGUAGGUGGCUUGAUAAGCCGGUUGUGAAAGCCCCGGGCUCAACCUGGGAACGGCAUCCGGAACUGUCAAGCUAGAGUGCAGGAGAGGAAGGUAGAAUUCCCGGUGUAGCGGUGAAAUGCGUAGAGAUCGGGAGGAAUACCAGUGGCGAAGGCGGCCUUCUGGACUGACACUGACACUGAGGUGCGAAAGCGUGGGUAGCAAACAGGAUUAGAUACCCCAGUAGUC